ACCGAGUCUAUGGAGGGCUGAAUGAUGUGCUGAUUUAGCAAUUUGUUUCAGGUGUGUUGGAGCAGGGUUGGAUCUAAAGGUUGCAGGAUAGUUGCUCUCAAAGACUGGACCUGGGCACACAUGACUUAAACAAAACAAUAACCUAACUUGAAAAUUAUAACCUAAAAAUGGUAAAGUAUGAAAAAGAUCCCAAGGCUAUGGGAACAAGGAGACAAUGACGGACCUAUUCGCAGAGCCAAUCCCUGGACCCACCAAGUGACAAACAUUACUGGCAACAGACCAAGGAUGAAAUCUGGUACUCUGCUGCUGAUUCAUGUUACAGUAUCUGCUAGCUGUUUACUAGCAGCCACACAGUCCAUCGCUUGCAGGAUCCCUGUUAUCUUAGAGACCCAGACAACAUGUGGAGAAUGCCCUGGCAGCUUCUUUAUUCUAGUUCCAAAGUAUGUGUGUGCUGGUCUGUUUCUUUCUGAAGCAUUCUUUCAUACAUCAGCAUACAACAACAAUGCAAUAAUUUGUACACAUAAAUAUGAUGCAAAAUCA